AUUUAUAUAGUUUAAAUAAAACAUUUCAUUUUCAAUGGAAAAAAGAGAAUAAUCUAUAAAUA
rnacentral:tRNA from 1 species